AAAAGGCAUAGCGGAGAAGACACAUUAAAAAAAAACAGGUAUAAUUGAGAGCAAUGGAAUCAAACACGAUUUCAGUUUAAGAAACCAUUUUUAGAAGAUACGUCAAAUAUCAGCACAUUAAAUUGCCCGCUUGACUGCAUUGCCGAGACAAAGUUUGCUGGUUCGUGUGUAGACGGCCGUUCGCAGAGUGGCGAAUUCGAGGACGCCCAGCACAAGGCAAAAUAAAUCCGUAAGUGCCGUGACGUCCGAGGCCCGCCUUGCCCUGGAAAGACGAAGCUGCCUUGGAAUCCUUCCUGGCGAGGCGACUGUUUUGUGAAGCGGCGGCUGCUGCUGUUGCUGCAGGAAAAGAACGCCGGUGACAGCGCAAGCAAGGUAACAGCAUCACAUCCGCCAGGGGAAGCAAGUUUAAAGCCGGUGGCGCUCCAGGACUGCGGUCACUUGGCACAGCGGAGGCAGCACGGACAAUCAACAUAAUCGCUUCACCUGCUAUCUUUGCAGCACGACAGGAUCGGCAAGCCCCACAACGAGCAACAAGUAGGCGUGCAGUGAGCCAGGCGCAAGUCAUCAGAGGGCCACCAGCCGAUUCCGCAAGGGUGGAAAUUCAUCUAGACCAGCACAUCAAGCGGCGCC